AAUAAUGUGCCUGAUUAAAGGAUUAUCGUGAUAGGGUAAAUAAAGUAACCAAGUUACCAUUAUUA
rnacentral:tRNA from 1 species